rnacentral:sRNA from 1 species
CUUUAUCCCUCGGGCUCUCUCCUCCUCCCAUGAGCCCUUGUGGACAGCAAGCCUGCGGCUCCUCCUCCCAUCGCAGGCUUCCUAACGACACCCGCCGGUCCUCCCCCGGCGGGUGUUGUCG